rnacentral:rRNA from 1 species
AACGAAUGCUGGCGGCGCGUUUUAAGCAUGCAAGUCGAACGGCAGCUCUGGUAGCAAUACUGAAGCGAGAGUGGCGAACGGGUGAGUAAGACGUAGGUGAUCUACCCCUGGAUGGGGGAUAGUCCGUGGAAACACGGGGUAAUACCGCAUGAGGCCUUGGGGGUAAAGCCCUGAGGUGAAAGCUCCAACUGGAGCGUCUGGGGAUGAGCCUGCGGCCCUUUAGGCAGUUGGCGGGGUAACGGCCCACCAAACCGACGAUGGGUAGCCGGCCUGAGAGGGUGUACGGCCACACUGGAACUGAGACACGGUCCAGACUCCUACGGGAGGCAGCAGCUAAGAAUCUUCCGCAAUGGGGGAAACCCUGACGGAGCGACGCCGCGUGGACGAUGAAGGCCGUAAGGUUGUAAAGUCCUUUUGCAGGUGAAGAAUAAGCCGGGGGAGUGGAAAGCCCUGGUGAUGACGUUAGCCUGCGAAUAAGCCCCGGCCAAUUACGUGCCAGCAGCCGCCGUAACAC